CAACCAUCAAGUGCUUUUGACGUCUUGCGCCGAACGCGUGGAGGUGACAGUGUCUUGGACUUCUGAUAAAGAAGAUGGAAACCACAAGGACCACCUCGUGAAGUCUGUUAUCUGAAUCGUUCAUUUUUAGGACCAUCCACUGGAAAUCCCACACGGUUACGGUCCCAUGGAGGACGUCACUUCCGGUUCCCGCCCCAUGGAUGAUGUCACUUCCUUCCUCAGCCUUUAAAGCCGCCAUGUUUCUCAUCUUGAGUCAGUUCUGUUUUGGAUUUAAACCUGUUAAGAACUCCAUACCAAUUACCCUUUUGCAGCCAGGGCACAAUAUAUGGCUGGCUGCCCCAAACCUUUUUGAUGUCUUUUGGACUCUUUUGUGACAGUGGAUUCUCAAAGGGCCUGCUGGGAGUUGGAGUUCGCUGCAGCACUAUUUGGGCCCCCAGGGGGAGCUGAAGAGCCCUACUUUGGGUUUCCACCACACCUGGGAGUACGUCCAGAUAACGCUGAUGAGCCACCUGACGGGCAUAAAGGGAGCCGCCUCACUUCACUCAGACAGCCGGAGUCGGGAGGAAGAGGGACGAAGCUUGCCAAAUAAAGGAGGAGUGGAGGCGGAAAGGAGAAGGAAGAAGAAGAAGAGAAAGUGCUGUGUGCUGUUUAUGGCACUGUGCCAUAGGGGUGAUGAAAGAAAACCAUUCCCCCUUUGUAAAAUAAACGUGUGUGUGGCAAAGACUUGUGCCUAGAGUCCGUCUGUGUCGGGUUUAGGAAGCUGGUGCGCCCCCUGGUGGCCACAAUCCUCUCUCUGGCACACCAACACCGAGGACUUUCAGCCGACAAAUUAUUCAACACAAGAGAAACAUAACUGGGGCCCCUUCAUACCAACAGCGAUAUGUCUGCCUAACACCUCACUGGAACUGGGACUGCCUUUUCUGUCCUUCCUGUCCAUAGGACCUUACUUUGCUUGUUGUUUAUUUAGCU